rnacentral:rRNA from 1 species
GCUAGCUACAGGCUUAACACAUGCAAGUCGAGGGGCAUCAGGAAGAAAGCUUGCUUUCUUUGCUGGCGACCGGCGCACGGGUGAGUAACACGUAUCCAACCUGCCCUUUACUCGGGGAUAGCCUUUCGAAAGAAAGAUUAAUACCCGAUAGCAUAAUGAUUCCGCAUGGUUUCAUUAUUAAAGGAUUCCGGUAAAGGAUGGGGAUGCGUUCCAUUAGGUUGUUGGUGAGGUAACGGCCCACCAAGCCUUCGAUGGAUAGGGGUUCUGAGAGGAAGGUCCCCCACAUUGGAACUGAGACACGGUCCAAACUCCUACGGGAGGCAGCAGUGAGGAAUAUUGGUCAAUGGGCGCUAGCCUGAACCAGCCAAGUAGCGUGAAGGAUGAAGGCUCUAUGGGUCGUAAACUUCUUUUAUAUAAGAAUAAAGUGCAGUAUGUAUACUGUUUUGUAUGUAUUAUAUGAAUAAGGAUCGGCUAACUCCGUGCCAGCAGCCGCGGUAAUACGGAGGAUCCGAGCGUUAUCCGGAUUUAUUGGGUUUAAAGGGAGCGUAGGUGGACUGGUAAGUCAGUUGUGAAAGUUUGCGGCUCAACCGUAAAAUUGCAGUUGAUACUGUCAGUCUUGAGUACAGUACAGGUGGGCGGAAUUCGUGGUGUAGCGGUGAAAUGCUUAGAUAUCACGAAGGACUCCGAUUGCGAAGGCAGCUCACUGGACUGCAACUGACACUGAUGCUCGAAAGUGUGGGUAUCAAACAGGAUUAGAUACCCUGGUAGUCCACACAGUAAACGAUGAAUACUCGCUGUUUGCGAUAUACAGUAAGCGGCCAAGCGAAAGCAUUAAGUAUUCCACCUGGGGAGUACGCCGGCAACGGUGAAACUCAAAGGAAUUGACGGGGGCCCGCACAAGCGGAGGAACAUGUGGUUUAAUUCGAUGAUACGCGAGGAACCUUACCCGGGCUUAAAUUGCAGUGGAAUGAUGUGGAAACAUGUCAGUGAGCAAUCACCGCUGUGAAGGUGCUGCAUGGUUGUCGUCAGCUCGUGCCGUGAGGUGUCGGCUUAAGUGCCAUAACGAGCGCAACCCUUAUCUUUAGUUACUAACAGGUUAUGCUGAGGACUCUAGAGAGACUGCCGUCGUAAGAUGUGAGGAAGGUGGGGAUGACGUCAAAUCAGCACGGCCCUUACGUCCGGGGCUACACACGUGUUACAAUGGGGGGUACAGAAGGCAGCUAGCGGGUGACCGUAUGCUAAUCCCAAAAUCCUCUCUCAGUUCGGAUCGAAGUCUGCAACCCGACUUCGUGAAGCUGGAUUCGCUAGUAAUCGCGCAUCAGCCACGGCGCGGUGAAUACGUUCCCGGGCCUUGUACACACCGCCCGUCAAGCCAUGGGAGCCGGGGGUACCUGAAGUACGUAACCGCAAGGAUCGUCCUAGGGUAAAACUG